GACGUAGGAUGCAAGCGUUGUCCGGAUUUAUUGGGCGUAAAGAGUUCGUAGGCUGUUUGUUAAGUCUGAUGUUAAAGACUGGGGCUCAACCUCGGAAAUGCAUUGGAUACUGGCAGUCUGGAGUGCAGUAGAGGCUAGUGGAAUUCCCAGUGUAGCGGUGAAAUGCGUAGAUAUUGGGAGGAACACCGAUGGCGAAGGCAGGUCUCUGGGCAUUAACUGACGCUGAGGAGCGAAAGCAUGGGGAGCGAACAGG
rnacentral:rRNA from 1 species